GCACCCGUAGUUUAAUGGCUACGUUUUGACUUUAUGGUCAAUACGCCGUAGAGAAUCCGGGCCUUCCAAGCCUGUGAUCCGGGUUCGAAUCCCGGCGGGUGCA
rnacentral:tRNA from 1 species